UGAGUAAUGUCUGGGAAACUGCCUGAUGGAGGGGGAUAACUACUGGAAACGGUAGCUAAUACCGCAUAACGUCGCAAGACCAAAGAGGGGGACCUUCGGGCCUCUUGCCAUCAGAUGUGCCCAGAUGGGAUUAGCUAGUAGGCGGGGUAAUGGCUCACCUAGGCGACGAUCCCUAGCUGGUCUGAGAGGAUGACCAGCCACACUGGAACUGAGACACGGUCCAGACUCCUACGGGAGGCAGCAGUGGGGAAUAUUGCACAAUGGGCGCAAGCCUGAUGCAGCCAUGCCGCGUGUGUGAAGAAGGCCUUCGGGUUGUAAAGCACUUUCAGCGAGGAGGAAGGUGGUGAACUUAAUACGUUCAUCAAUUGACGUUACUCGCAGAAGAAGCACCGGCUAACUCCGUGCCAGCAGCCGCGGUAAUACGGAGGGUGCAAGCGUUAAUCGGAAUUACUGGGCGUAAAGCGCACGCAGGCGGUUUGUUAAGUCAGAUGUGAAAUCCCCGGG
rnacentral:rRNA from 1 species